UACGUAGGGUGCAAGCGUUAAUCGGAAUUACUGGGCGUAAAGCGUGCGCAGGCGGUUAUUUAAGUCAGGUGUGAAAGCCCUGGGCUUAACCCUAGGAAUUGCGCUUGAGACUGGAUAGCUUGGAGUGCGGCAGAGGGAGGUGGAAUUCCACGUGUAGCAGUGAAAUGCGUAGAGAUGUGGAGGAACACCGAUGGCGAAGGCAGCCUCCUGGGCCGGCACUGACGCUCAGUGCACGAAAGCGUGGGGAGCAAACAGGAUUA
rnacentral:rRNA from 1 species